GAUGAAGAACGUAGCGAAACGCGAUAUGUAAUGUGAAUUGCAGAAUUCAGUGAAUCAUCGAAUCUUUGAACGCACAUGGCGCCUUCCAGUAUCCUGGGAGGCAUGCCUGUCCGAGCGUCGUUUCAACCCUCGAGCCCCCGUGGCCCGGCGUUGGGGAUCUGCCACGGCAGGCCCCUAAAACCAGUGGCGGACCCGAAGGCCCUCUCCUUUGCGCAGUAGCAUCAGCCUCGCAUUGGGAUCCCUCGGCGUCCUGCCUCUAAACCCCCCACAAGUCCGCUCCGGCGGCACCAAGGUUGACCUCGGAUCAGGUAGGAAUACCCGCUGAACUUAAGCAUAUCAAUAAGCGGAGGA
rnacentral:misc_RNA from 1 species